rnacentral:rRNA from 1 species
CGGGUGAGUAGCACGUAUCCAACCUGCCGUCUACUCUUGGACAGCCUCUGAAAGGAAGAUUAAUACAAGAUGGCAUCAUGAGUCCACAUGUUCACAUGAUUAAAGGUAUUCCGGUAGACGAUGGGGAUGCGUUCCAUUAGAUAGUAGGCGGGGUAACGGCCCACCUAGUCUUCGAUGGAUAGGGGUUCUGAGAGGAAGGUCCCCCACAUUGGAACUGAGACACGGUCCAA